CGCCCCGAGCAGCGGAACGGAGCGCGCGCCCCGCAAGUGACCCUGCUGUCGGCCGCGCUGCCCGGGCUGUGGCCCCGCUUGACCCGCUGGCGCUGAGAUCUGACUUCUUUUCCUUCCCUAUUUCUUGGAUUUUUCAAGUUGAUGUAAGUUAAUGACAUAAACCAGUGACUUAACAAACAAGCAAAAUGGAGACAAAAAAUACUCUACAAACUCUGCUGAAGCUAAGAGCUUCCCUGUCUGUUUCCUCAGUUCAAUAAAGCUGCAGCUUUGUGAGGAGCUGUUGCUUCAGCAACAAAGCAGCUCAAAAUAGGAAUUUAGGAGUCUUCACCAAGCCUUGACUAACAGGCAGACCCUCAUCUGGGCAGGUGCUUCUAUGGGUUCUUCCCCUGACAUCUAAGUAGUCUUAUGUGCUACUAACUAGGUACUUUGGAGACAGCUCUGAAGCUUCUGCCUGACUUUCUGACUCCUCGCUCUUGGAGAAAUUGGAGACAGGGAGAAACAGAGACAUAGAGAGACAGUGCUGACCAGUCACCCAGGCAACUGCUGUAGGGACCUCUAGCUCUCAAGCAGGGAUAUUUGGAAACAUUGGUUCUUCGUGGUCAUUGGCAGCAUGGUGAUCUGCUGGAGGGUCCUGCUCCACUUCUCUGGUGUUUAAGGUCUGGCCAGGGCUGAACACUGACACUCCACUAUGUACAAGCACAUGUGCAUGUCAUAUGCGCACACGUCUUUGAAAACAUAUCUUUGCUCAUCCAGUGCUUCUUGAAUCUGCUCCCAGAGCCAGAAGCUGCAAGAGACACAGAAGCAGCCACAGCCUGCAUGAAGAAGCCCUGGCCUGUGAGAGGCAAAGAACUGGCUGCUCUGACAGCCAUUUAUGAACCGCAGUUGUUUCCUCUGAGAUCUGUUGUGACUCAGAGAUUCAGAAGCAGAGUAGCAAUGAAAAUAACUAAGGCCUGGGUAGAAACUUGUAAAUACUUCCAACCAUUCUUUGUA